rnacentral:rRNA from 1 species
GUGCCAGCAGCCGCGGUAAUACGGAGGAUCCAAGCGUUAUCCGGAAUCAUUGGGUUUAAAGGGUCCGUAGGCGGUCUGAUAAGUCAGAGGUGAAAUCCUGCAGCUCAACUGUAGCAUUGCCUUUGAUACUGUUAGACUUGAGUUAUUGUGAAGUAGUUAGAAUGUGUGGUGUAGCGGUGAAAUGCAUAGAUAUCACACAGAAUACCGAUUGCGAAGGCAGAUUACUAACAAUAUACUGACGCUGAGGGACGAAAGCGUGGGUAGCGAACAGGAUUAGAUACCCUGGUAGUCCACGCCGUAAACGAUGGAUACUAGCUGUUCGAUCAACAUUGGUUGGUUGAGUGGCUAAGCGAAAGUGAUAAGUAUCCCACCUGGGGAGUACGCUCGCAAGAGUGAAACUCAAAGGAAUUGACGGGG